AUUGAACGCUGGCGGCAGGCCUAACACAUGCAAGUCGAACGAGUGGCGGACUGGUUAGUAAUGUCUGGGAAACUGCCCGAUGGAGGGGGAUAACUACUGGAAACGGUAGCUAAUACCGCAUACACUCGGAUGUGCCCAGAUGGGAUUAGCUUGUAGGUGAGGUAACGGCUCACCUAGGCGACGAUCCCUAGCUGGUCUGAGAGGAUGACCAGACAGACUGGAACUGAGACACGGUCCAGACUCCUACGGGCCGCAACAGUGGGGAAUAUUGCACAAUGGGCGCGAGCCUGAGGCAGCCAUGCCUCGUGUAGGAAGAAGGCCUUCGGGUUGUAAAGUACUUUCAGCGGAGAGGCUUUCCCCACAGAAGAAGCAAAGGCUAAAUCCGUGCCAGCAGCCGCGGUAAUUC
rnacentral:rRNA from 1 species